GCUGGGUGUGGUGGUUCACACCUGUAAUCCCAGCAACUUGGGAAGCUGAGGCAGGAAGAUCACAAAUUUGAGGGCCAGCCUCAG
rnacentral:sRNA from 1 species